rnacentral:rRNA from 1 species
CGACGGGUAGCCGGCCUGAGAGGGUGGACGGCCACAUUGGGACUGAGACACGGCCCAAACUCCUACGGGAGGCAGCAGUGGGGAAUAUUGCACAAUGGGCGCAAGCCUGAUGCAGCGACGCCGCGUGGGGGAUGANGGCCUUCGGGUUGUAAACUCCUUUCAACCAUGACGAAGCUUUUUGUGACGGUAGUGGUAGAAGAAGCACCGGCUAACUACGUGCCAGCAGCCGCGGUAAUACAACA